UACGAAGGGUGCAAGCGUUACUCGGAAUUACUGGGCGUAAAGCGUGCGUAGGUGGUGAGUUAAGUCUGUCGUGAAAGCCCCGGGCUCAACCUGGGAAUGGCGAUGGAUACUGGCUCGCUAGAGUGCGGUAGAGGAGAGUGGAAUUCCCGGUGUAGCAGUGAAAUGCGUAGAGAUCGGGAGGAACAUCAGUUGCGAAGGCGGCUCGCUGGAACGUUACUGACGCUGAGACGGCGAAAGCGUGGGGAGCAAACAGG
rnacentral:rRNA from 1 species